CGGCGGACGGGUGAGUAACACGUGGGUAACCUACCUAUAAGACUGGGAUAACUCCGGGAAACCGGGGCUAAUACCGGAUAAUACAUGAAACCGCAUGGUUUCAUGAUGAAAGACGGUUUUGCUGUCACUUAUAGAUGGACCCGCGGCGUAUUAGCUAGUUGGUAGGGUAACGGCCUACCAAGGCGAUGAUGCAUAGCCGAGUUGAGAGACUGAUCGGCCACAUUGGGACUGAGACACGGCCCAAACUCCUACGGGAGGCAGCAGGC
rnacentral:rRNA from 1 species